rnacentral:tRNA from 1 species
GGCACUGUGGCGCAGCAGGUUAACGCCCUGGCCUGAAGCGCCGGCAUCCCAUAUGAGCCUGGUUCGAGACCUGGCAGCUCCA